rnacentral:rRNA from 1 species
UACGAGGGGUGCAAGCGUUGCUCGGAAUUAUUGGGCGUAAAGGGUAGGUAGGUGGUCUCGUUUGUCUGGGGUGAAAGCCUUGAGCUCAACUCAAGAAGUGCCUCGGAAACGGCGAGACUAGAGUCCUGGAGAGGGUCGUGGAAUUCCCGGUGUAGCGGUGAAAUGCGUAGAGAUCGGGAGGAACACCAGAGGCGAAGGCGGCGACCUGGACAGGCACUGACACUCAACUACGAAAGCGUGGGGAGCAAACAGG